AUUGAACGCUGGCGGCAUGCCUUACACAUGCAAGUCGAACGGCAGCACGGGAGCAAUCCUGGUGGCGAGUGGCGAACGGGUGAGUAAUAUAUCGGAACGUGCCCGGUCGUGGGGAUAACGUAGCGAAAGCUACGCUAAUACCGCAUACGAUCUACGGAUGAAAGCGGGGGAUCGCAAGACCUCGCGCGAUUGGAGCGGCCGAUAUCAGAUUAGGUAGUUGGUGAGGUAAAGGCUCACCAAGCCGACGAUCUGUAGCUGGUCUGAGAGGACGACCAGCCACACUGGGACUGAGACACGGCCCAGACUCCUACGGGAGGCAGCAGUGGGGAAUUUUGGACAAUGGGCGCAAGCCUGAUCCAGCAAUGCCGCGUGCAGGAUGAAGGCCUCGGUU
rnacentral:rRNA from 1 species